CCCUGCUGCUAUCGGGGUGGGACUAAAACAUGCUAGUCGAGCGUCUCCUAGCCAUGGUGGAGGCGCGGCGUACAACUCAGUAACACGUGGCUAACCUACCCUUGGGACGGGAACACCCCCGGGAAACCACGCGCAGACCUUGACCACAUAAACACAAAUUCUCAAAAAAUCCAAAAACCCCAUAACAUAAACAAACACUUCACUACACCGCCUUGCCGAUUUCUAAGCUGGCAAAGGCUAUCUUAAACUAACCAAAACCCACACACACAACUUUCUAAGAAUAAAAACUUAAGGCUCUGGCGUAGCCCAAAACUGGGGUUAAUUCUCGAUGGGUGAGGAGGCCUGGAAUGGUUCUUCACUGAAAGGGCGUUAGAGGCAUGCUCUCUAACGUUGCCCAAGGAUGGGGCCGCGGCCGAUCAGGUUGUUGGUGAGGUAACGGCUUACCAAGCCUAUAACCGGUACGGGCCGUGAGAGCGGAAGCCCGGAGAUGGGCACUGAGAUAAGGGCCCAGGCCCUACGGGGCGCAGCAGUUGCGAAAACUCCGCAAUGCACGAAAGCGUGACGGGGCUACCCCGAGUGCCGUCCGCUGAGGAUGGCUUUUCUCCGCUGUAAGGAGGCGGAGGAAUAAGGAGAGGGCAAGACUGGUGUCAGCCGCCGCGGUAAUACCAGCUCUCCGAGUGGUAGGGGUGAUUAUUGGGCUUAAAGCGUCCGUAGCCGGCCUGGCAAGUCUUCCGUUAAAUCCAGCAACCUAAUUGUUGGGCUGCGGGGGAUACUGUUAGGCUUGGGGGCGGGAGAGGCCGACGGUAUUCUCGGGGUAGGGGUGAAAUCUUAUAAUCCCGAGAGGACCACCAGUGGCGAAGGCUGUCGGCUAGCACGCGCCUGACGGUGAGGGACGAAAGCUGGGGGAGCGAACCGGAUUAGAUACCCGGGUAGUCCCUGCUGUAAACGAUGCGAGCUAGGUGUUGGGGCGGCUACGAGCCGCUUCAGUGCCGCAGCGAAGGCGUUAAGCUCGCCGCCUGGGGAGUACGGCCGCAAGGCUGAAACUUAAAGGAAUUGGCGGGGGAGCACCACAAGGCGUGAAGCUUGCGGUUC
rnacentral:rRNA from 1 species